rnacentral:tRNA from 1 species
GCGCCCGUAGCUCAGUUGGAUAGAGCAACGGCCUUCUAAGCCGUGGGUCAGGGGUUCGAAUCCCUUCGGGCGUGCCA